CGUAUACAAAAAUAUAUACGAAGCUGGUAAUAACGAGAGUAUUACACGAUUCAACCCUGACAUUUCGUACGAUGACGUAAAUGCAAUUCUUGUACGUCAAUGCUCCUCCAUGAUGGCUUAGGGACAACUUCACACCUAUUGUUGGGAUUGGUCUUGUGGGAAGAAUUAUAAUUUGCGGCAGUCAUCAGUCUUUAUGAUGACCUUUGAAAAUUAAUGUCAGCGUGCAACGUUGUCAUGACGUCAACAAGAAAAGUGACCUAGUAUUUCUCGUUUAUAGUAGGUGUAUUACAGGGCGUAUAGUACAAGGCCAGUUCAUUAUUGGAGUACAUACAAUGUACUAUUAUAAGCUGCUCCAACGGUCACCAUAAUAUAAAAGACAAACGACGUCCCAUGUGUCUUAUGGCGACAAUAUGUCCCAGCCUUUACAAGUCAAGCCUGGGAGAUGACUUUCGUUAUAUCUAAUAAGCAUAGCAACCAUUUGGCAACAGCUUGACAUUAAAUAUAAUGAAACACUUGCCUGCUUUUCUCCUUCAUCGCGUGAUGCUGAACGGCUUCAUCACUUUAGUGGUAGAAAGUUCCAGCAUCUUCAGGCUUCUUUUUCCGUUUCGUCCUUGUUACGUUACAAGAGUAUAUCCCACUGAUGUUAUAAAGUACCGAAUCUCCUGUUUUUUUGACCAAUUUUUCCUUCAAUUCAAUAACAAAUCAGCUCCACCUGUUAUACUUUAUACUUGAAAUGAUAGGCGUAUCAAUAGCCUAAUAAUACGAACAACUUAUCAUGCCAAGUUGGUAUAAUUUAUCUUGCCGCAAAUACGUUAAUAUUUGAGUAUUACUCUGAAGUCAAGUAAAUAUCUUUUCACUAGUGUAAAAAUACAAAUGCUUUUUAAAAUAAUUUAGUUUUAUGCUAAUGUUAAGAUUGAAGAACUGUAUGUAAUAUUAAGAGUAUUUUUAUAUUUCCUGUAUGUAUAAAUUUAAAAUUACUCUCGUAAUAAAUAUAUACUUUACUCGCAUUAUCUGUGCGAUUUAACUGUUUCCCGCAGUCUACUGUCGUGAAUGUUGAAAUAAAACAAUAAAUAUAUUUUUAAGCAAAAAGAAAAUGUGAGUAAGAGAGUACCCAAUCAUUCAUUUUAAAUAUUUUGUAAGCUAUCUAAAUAGGAGUUUAGACUUUUAUUGUAUGAUAACACGCAAUAUCAAGAGAAGUAGUCUACAAGGAUUAUACUUUUAUUUCUAUACAUACGUGGAGUCAGGGAUAAAUUAAAAGAAGUAUGAACAUAUUUAUAUACAACUUUUUGAUCACAUGGAUAGUUCUUUAAUUUAGCAACUUAAGUAUGUAAACCAAUUUUCUUUCAGUGAAUAAUGAUAAAAAAAAAACCUGUGAUCCCAAUGGAGUUGUCAAAGUUUACCCAUGUGUGACAAAGAAUGUCAAAUCAACAAGCUUUUAAGCCAGAAACACUGAGAAGCUCGUAGAAUGUCUUGGAAGAUUAGAAUAGAUCAUCCUAAGUCCUAUCAAUACUCUUGUUCCAGCGAGCACUGAAUUUUGUGAAUUUAGUAUAAGAGUACGGAUUCUACAACUUGAAGCAUAAAGUGCUGGUAUGCAAAAAAUGGAAUAAUAUUUUCAGAUAUUACAGAUAGAAUAAGUAUUAAUAUAUUAGAAAAUAGAAUAUAAUACUGGAAACUGUAAUUAGGAUUUUCAAUGGAAUCAGAAAAGUGAGAUGUAUUAUAAGUAUACUUUUGUACAUAUAUUUAGAUAUAUUCUCACUAUUUGUUGAUAGAACCAAAUCUAGAGAGAAAAAUUAUAGUUCCACAUCUUUUUCACUUUCAAAGCAUUUAGUGUAUAUGUUUAACAAAUAACUAUGUUUACACAUUCUUCAACUAGUUCAAUUAAUCUUAUUUGAUGAAAUUGUUCAGUGUCAGAUAUAUUCUAGGGAUUCUAAGGCACUUGUAAAUACUUCCAUGAAUUUCUGAGAAAUUAGGAUUAAUUGCUUUGGAUUUUAUAUAGCAGUAAUAAUGAAGCUGGUUUAAUCGCUGUAUAUAGUAUAUAAAUGUAAUCCAUAAUAGACACAGUUUAUAAUUAAUGACAUUAUAAUGUAGCAUAUUAUGUGGUAGUGACGCUAAACGUGAAUAAUUAUUUUAUCCUAACAUUUCACAUCUACAAAGGAAACUAUCAAUUCAGUAAUCUGAGGUUGGGGAAUGCAAUUACAAUAGACUUUUGUGUAAAAUCUAAACAUACAUUGACAGGUAAAAUAACUGCCAGCACUGCCUAGCGGACGGUGCUAUUACAUUCAUGGGACUAAGUAUACAGGUGGGUAAUGUUCGAUAAAAUCAUUUGCGACAAUACCAUUGGGUUCUUGUCUCUUCUACUACAAUCAUAUAAUAUGACUUUAUAUUGGAUGUGUUAGCAUCACGAUUUAUACAUGAUACAAUUUAAUUACGUUAAACGAUCUAAUAAUUUCACUUCGAUAUAUUCUCUUGCGCCAUCAAUCUCUUUAAAAAUAUAAUACUAUUGUAUCUUCAGGUCAACCUCAGCGAUAUGCAGAUGGUACAAGCGACAGUGAACUGAAUCGUAUUUUUUACUUUCAUUUCUGUUAAUGAUAUUAAUGAAGUUAUGUAUAACGACUAAUGAAAUAAUAUGAAAGCAAUAAGCAAUGAAAAACCUGCAUGUACUGCUUAUUAAAAUAUACGAUACAAGCUACAUACUUAUACUAUAAUUUAACUUUUAAAUUAAAUUAUUUGUCAUCUCAAUGUGUUCAAUGAUCAUCUUUUGAACUUUUUUCAAUAAUAAGCAUUAAUCAAAUCUCCCUU